CCAUAAUGAUCAUUUCGAACGUAUAGUGCAAGCGCGACUUCUUCAAGUGCUGCAUUACCUGCUCGUUCACCAAUACCAUUU
rnacentral:sRNA from 1 species